rnacentral:rRNA from 1 species
UGGGGGAUAUUGCACAAUGGGCGCAAGCCUGAUGCAGCGACGCCGCGUGGGGGAUGAAGGCCUUCGGGUUGUAAACUUCUUUUGCUCUGAACAAGGCGCACUUUGGGGUGUGUUGAGUGUAGGGGUUGAUUAGCGCCGGCUAACUACGUGCCAGCAGCCGCGGUAAUACGUAGGGCGCGAGCGUUGUCCGGAAUUAUUGGGCGUAAAGGGCUUGUAGGUGGCUGGUUGCGUCUGUCGUGAAAGCUCAUGGCUUAACUGUGGGUUUGCGGUGGGUACGGGCUGGCUUGAGUGCAGUAGGGGGGGCUGGAAUUCCUGGUGUAGCGGUGGAAUGCGCAGAUAUCAGGAGGAAUACCGGUGGCGAGGGCGGGUCUCUGGGCUGUUACUGACACUGAGGAGCGAAAGCAUGGGGAGCGAACAGG